ensembl:lncRNA
AUGUGGUGGACACACAUAUUUUUAUUUCAAAGAGGAAGGGCCGCCCCCCAGAGGAGAUCUAUGCCUAAACAAAGAAAUCUGGCAGUGACAGGAUGUAGUGACUGUUCGCUGACAAAGUCCCCUACUGAGUUAGUUUGUCAGUCAGAACCGCCAUCCCACAAGGGAGGAGUCCGUGGUUACAUAGCUGCCAUGAGAUUCUCCAUUCAGUGGAGCGUCUGUAAAAAAACAGGUACCUCUCAAAAGGGCCAGCACCCUGAGGCAUGAGGGGGACACCUAGAGUAAACCAAUGAAGGUGGCGUGACGGUGUUUGGCCAGCAGCACCACUGAACUGGCCAUAUCCAUGACAGCCCAAGAGGGACGACAGCCACCAGGGAGGCCAUCGUUCCCAUGCAGGAGACAGGAAGUAGCAAAAAUGCACUGACACUGCAGACUGAGAUGGAAAGUGUGCUUUGGUGUGCUUCACAACCAAAAGUCACAUAGUUUGAUUGUGCUGAAAACUAAGCGUGAUAAUCAUUGGCUUGCAAAUGCUGGGUUGGGUAUUUACCUGGUAAAAAUAUGUCAAUGAAUGUUUAAAUUAACAUCUACACAAAAUACUGUUAAGUAAUCUAUUCCAGAGGCAUAUUUGUCAAUGUAAUUCUAGGAUCCAGAGAUUUGUUUAUUUUAAAUUUGGUUUGCAAUAUGUACUGUAUUUAUAAAGAUAACUGUUAUAUUGCUCUGCAUUCAAUAUUAUAGGAUAGAGAACAUAUUUUAUGGAAUAUAUGACAAUGUGUGAGGAAGAAAAGUGUUGCAGGAAGCACUCUGUCCAAGGAUUUUAAUCCAUGGCUAGUAGUGAUGUUCUGUGGAUCCUUCAAACUUUGCUGUAUAUACAGGUACACUUAUGACUCUGAACUCCAGAGAAGUUACAUCAAUAGUUUACAUUGGCUGUUGACAGAUUUUUGGUUUAGUUUAAACCUAUUUCUGUAUGCUUCAUUUUGAAAAUCGUUAACAGAUUGCGCUCGUAAUCACAGGGUGGUCACAUACAGACAAGUUUCAUGAACCACUGAAUUGUGGCAAUUGUAGGACAAAAAAUGUAAGAACUACUUGUAGUGUAGUUCUACAUGUAUCCCAAUGAAUUUGAUAUAUUAAUGUGAAUCACACUUCUGCUCUAUCAUUUGUAUCACAUUUUCUGUGAUUAUAUAUACUUUUUCACAGGACACAUCAUGUUUUGACUUGACUACAAAUGUAGUUACCUACCAACAAGUUUUUGACAGUUGAUGUAUGUGAUUGUUUAUGUGAGAUUGAGCUGUUAUGCAUAUUAAUGAGAGUAGUCUGUGGCAUUGGCUAAGGAGAGAAUAUUUUUUUCUUGAGCAAAUAUUUAAAGCCCACACUGAAGGACUCACUAAAACUAAACUCCUGAUGAAGGACAACAGGUUCGUUCCACCAGAAGAAUUAUUACUUAAAAAUUUCCGAAAAAAAUGUUUUCCGUAAUGCCUGCAGAUUGAUCGAUUUUUCUCUUUGAACAUGAAAAAGUAGUUGAUCAGAGCGUUUAGCUGAGGACCAUGUAUGAAUCCUCCCAGUCACCUUAAUGUAGAAGACAUUUCUGCUGGCUGUUCAAACACACUAUUAAAUUGAAUAGAAUUGUUAAAAUCCUCUAGUAGUAGUAUUAUUUCUGUCACUCGAUAUAAUGUGGGGUAACACUAAAUUUGGAUGAUGUAGCAAUUAAGGAAAUGCCUAAUCUGAUGUUAAAAAACUGUUUUGAUUAAAAAAAAAAAUCAACUUAUCAGGAACAAGAUAUCCAUCU